rnacentral:rRNA from 1 species
GCAAGGGCACUCUAAUGAGACUGCCGGUGACAAACCGGAGGAAGGUGGGGAUGACGUCAAGUCCUCAUGGCCCUUAUGGUAGGGCUUCACACGUCAUACAAUGGUCGGUACAGAGGGUUGCCAAGCCGCGAGGUGGAGCCAAUCCCAGAAAGCCGAUCGUAGUCCGGAUUGUUCUCUGCAACUCGAGAGCAUGAAGUCGGAAUCGCUAGUAAUCGCGGAUCAGCAUGUCGCGGUGAAUACGUUCCCGGGUCUU